rnacentral:rRNA from 1 species
GACGAACGCUGGCGGCGUGCUUAACACAUGCAAGUCGAACGGUAAGGCCUUUCGGGGUACACGAGUGGCGAACGGGUGAGUAACACGUGGGUGAUCUGCCCUGCACUUCGGGAUAAGCCCGGGAAGCUGGGUCUAAUACCGGAUAGGACUGCGCGGUGCAUGCCGUGUGUUGGGAAGGUUUAUCGGUGCAGGAUGGGCCCGCGGCCUAUCAGCUUGUUGGUGGGGUGAUGGCCUACCAAGGCGACGACGGGUAGCCGGCCUGGGAGGGCGACCGGCCCCACUGGGACUGAGAGACGGGCCCGAGUCCUCCGGGGGGCAGCGGUGGGGAAUAUUGUGCACUAGGGGCAAGCCUGAUGCAGCGCCGCCGCGUGAGGGAUAACGGCCUUCGGGUUGUAAACCCCUUUCAGCAGGGACGCAGCGUGAAUGACGGUACCUGCAGAAGAAACACCGGCCAAAUCCGUG